rnacentral:rRNA from 1 species
GGCCAGACUCCUACGGGAGGCAGCAGUGGGGAAUAUUGCACAAUGGGGGAAACCCUGAUGCAGCAACGCCGCGUGAGUGAAGAAGUAUUUCGGUAUGUAAAGCUCUAUCAGCAGGGAAGAAGAUGACGGUACCUGAUUAAGAAGCCCCGGCUAACUACGUGCCAGCAGCCGCGGUAAUACGUAGGGGGCAAGCGUUAUCCGGAUUUACUGGGUGUAAAGGGAGCGCAGACGGCAGUGCAAGUCUGGAGUGAAAGCCCGGGGCCCAACCCCGGGACUGCUCUUGGAACUGUGCGGCUAGAGUGCGGGAGGGGCAGGCGGAAUUCCUGGUGUAGCGGUGAAAUGCGUAGAUAUCAGGAGGAACACCGGCGGCGAAGGCGGCCUGCUGGACCGCGACUGACGUUGAGGCUCGAAAGCGUGGGGAGCGAACAGGAUUAGAUACCCUAGUG